GGGGGGGGCGGGGGGGGGGGGGAGCGGAGGCGGGUGGGGCGGGAGGGCCCGGCUGGGGUGGGGGGCUCGAGUGGCGAGGGGGUGAGUAACACGUGAGUAACCUGCCCGUGACUUUGGGGUGACUUCAGGAAACUGGGGCUAAUACCGGAUAGGAGCUGCUGCUGCAUGGUGGGGGUCGGAAAGUUUCGGCGGGUGGGGGUGGACUCGCGGCUUAGCAGCUUGUAGGUGGGGUAGUGGCUUACCAAGGCUUUGACUGAUAGCCGGCCUGAGCGGGUGACCGGCCACGUUGGGACUGAGGUACGGCCCAGACUCGUACGGGAGGCAGCAGUGGGGAAUAUUGCACAAUGGGCCGAAGACUGAUGCAGCGACGCCGCGGGCGGGAUGCAGGCCUUCGGGGUGAAAACCGCUUUCGCCUGUGACGAAGCGUGAGUGACGGUACUGGGUAAAGAAGCACCGGCUAACUACGUG
rnacentral:rRNA from 1 species